rfam:Drosophila sechellia strain Rob3c scaffold_2180 genomic scaffold, whole genome shotgun sequence.
UAGAAUACUAUUGGUUAACCAUAGUCUAUCAUAUACGAUUAUCAUACAUCAUCAGAACUGGCACGGACUUGGGGAAUCCGACUGUCUAAUUAAAACAAAGCAUUGUGAUGGCCCUAGCGGGUGUUGACACAAUGUGAUUUCUGCCCAGUGCUCUGAAUGUCAAAGUGAAGAAAUUCAAGUAAGCGCGGGUCAACGGCGGCCUAAUCAACCCACGCGUUUACUAACAGGAAAGGAAUAUAUAGACGGUAUUCGUCUGCGGAUAAAUGCCCUACCCACGAAGUCUCGUACUACAAGGGGAAGGCACGAAUUGGAACGACAGUGUCGUGCAGGAUGUGACGCUCCCGAAACAACAAACCAUAUUAUGCAAAAAUGUUACCGAUCGCAUGGGAGGCGCAUAGCUAGACACAACUGCGUAGUAAAUCGAAUCAAGCGGGGACUUGAGGAGAGAGGCUGCGUAGUCAUUGUUGAACCAAGUCUGCAGUGCGAAUCCGGUCUUAAUAAACCAGACCUGGUGGCACUACGACAAAAUCACAUUGAUGUGAUCGACAUACAAAUUGUGACAGACGGACACUCUAUGGAUGAUGCACACCAGCGCAAAAUCAAUAGAUACGACAGACCGGACAUACGAACUGAGUUGCGUCGCAGAUUCGAAGCCGCAGGUGACAUUGAAUUCCAUUCUGCCACCCUGAACUGGAGGGGGAUCUGGAGUGGUCAAUCCGUUAAAAGAUUGAUAGCGAAGGGUCUCCUCAGCAAAUAUGAUAGUCAUAUCAUUAGCGUCCAGGUUAUGAGAGGCAGUCUCGGUUGUUUUAAACAGUUCAUGUACCUGAGCGGGUUUUCCCGAGAUUGGACUUAGCUAAAACGUUUGGUUCAAAACAUUUGCUUGCUGUCUUGGCAUAACAUCAAUAAAGGCAUAAACAUCGCAAAUAAUGGUAAUAUAUAAAUUGGCUAUGAGGAUGGUUUUAGUACGUAGGCGUUGCGGAACUUCGGUUCAGAUAGAGCAAUGAAUCGUGCAUGCUAGGAAACUGAAGUGUUGACAGACCUAGUAUCUUUCGAUAGAUUUCCAUACCUCCGCGAUCAAAAAAAAAAAAAAAAAAAUAGCCAAAUGCCUCGUCAUCUAAUUAGUGACGCGCAUGAAUGGAUUAACGAGAUUCCUACUGUCCCUAUCUACUAUCUAGCGAAACCACAGCCAAGGGAACGGGCUUGGAAUAAUUAGCGGGGAAAGAAGACCCUUUUGAGCUUGACUCUAAUCUGGCAGUGUAAGGAGACAUAAGAGGUGUAGAAUAAGUGGGAGAUAUUAGACCUCGGUUUGGUAUCGUCAAUGAAAUACCACUACUCUUAUUGUUUCCUUACUUACUUGAUUAAAUGGAACGUGUAUCAUUUCCUAGCCAUUAUACGGAUAUAUUUAUUAUAUCUUAUGGUAUUGGGUUUUGAUGCAAGCUUCUUGAUCAAAGUAUCACGAGUUUGUUAUAUAAUCGCAAACAAAUUCUUUAAUAAAACGAUGCAUUUAUGUAUUUUAUGUUUGAAAAUUUGGUAUAACUCCAAUUACUCAGGUAUGAUCCAAUCAAGGACAUUGCCAGGUAGGGAGUUGACUGGGGCGGUACAUCUCUCAAAUAAUAACGGAGGUGUCCCAAGGCCAGCUCAGUGCGGACAGAAACCACACAUAGAGCAAAAGGGCAAAUGCUGACUUGAUCUCGGUGUUCAGUACACACAGGGACAGCAAAAGCUCGGCCUAUCGAUCCUUUUGGUUUAAAGAGUUUUUAACAAGAGGUGUCAGAAAAGUUACCAUAGGGAUAACUGGCUUGUGGCGGCCAAGCGUUCAUAGCGACGUCGCUUUUUGAUCCUUCGAUGUCGGCUCUUCCUAUCAUUGUGAAGCAAAAUUCACCAAGCGUUGGAUUGUUCACCCAUGCAAGGGAACGUGAGCUGGGUUUAGACCGUCGUGAGACAGGUUAGUUUUACCCUACUAAUGACAAAACGUUGUUGCGACAGCAUUCCUGCGUAGUACGAGAGGAACCGCAGGUACGGACCAAUGGCACAAUACUUGUUCGAGCGAACAGUGGUAUGACGCUACGUCCGUUGGAUUAUGCCUGAACGCCUCUAAGGUCGUAUCCGUGCUGGACUGCAAUGAUAAAUAAGGGGCAAUUUGCAUUGUAUGGCUUCUAAACCAUUUAAAGUUUAUAAUUUAUUUUAUAAACGACAAUGGAUGUGAUGCCAAUGUAAUUUGUAACAUAGUAAAUUAGGAGGAUCUUCG